AUUGAACGCUGGCGGCAGGCCUAACACAUGCAAGUCGAGCGGAUGAAGGGAGCUUGCUCCUGGAUUCAGCGGCGGACGGGUGAGUAAUGCCUAGGAAUCUGCCUGGUAGUGGGGGAUAACGUCCGGAAACGGGCGCUAAUACCGCAUACGUCCUGAGGGAGAAAGUGGGGGAUCUUCGGACCUCACGCUAUCAGAUGAGCCUAGGUCGGAUUAGCUAGUUGGUGGGGUAAAGGCCUACCAAGGCGACGAUCCGUAACUGGUCUGAGGGGAUGAUCAGUCACACUGGAACUGAGACACGGUCCAGACUCCUACGGGAGGCAGCAGUGGGGAAUAUUGGACAAUGGGCGAAAGCCUGAUCCAGCCAUGCCGCGUGUGUGAAGAAGGUCUUCGGAUUGUAAAGCACUUUAAGUUGGGAGGAAGGGCAGUAGGUUAAUACCUUGCUGUUUUGACGUUACCAACAGAAUAAGCACCGGCUAACUUCGUG
rnacentral:rRNA from 1 species